AUUACACAUGUGACAUAUCCAAACUUCCCAUGAUUCUAGCAAUAAAUUGCUUCUUCAGCAACCAGAAAACCAAAAGUCACCCAAAACAUUCUUGGUUGUCAAAUACGAAAUAAAUAGACAAAUUCAAUGCCUUUGCCAUCCCAAUUUUUAACAGAAAUUAAAUAAAACGAUAACAUACUCAAGAAAAUUACCCACUCGAUUUUGUAAAAUAGCAACAAUGCCAACA
rnacentral:misc_RNA from 1 species